GUGGGGAAUAUUGCGCAAUGGGCGAAAGCCUGACGCAGCGACGCCGCGUGAGGGAUGAAGGUUUUCGGAUCGCAAACCUCUGUCAGAAGGGAAGAAACUACGUUGUGCUAAUCAGCAGCGUACUGACGGUACCUUCAAAGGAAGCACCGGCUAACUCCGUGCCAGCAGCCGCGGUAAUACGGAGGGUGCAAGCGUUAAUCGGAAUUACUGGGCGUAAAGCGCACGUAGGCUGUAGUGUAAGUCAGGGGUGAAAUCCCACGGCUCAACCGUGGAACUGCCUUUGAUACUGCACAACUUGAAUCCGGGAGGGGGUGGCGGAAUUCCAGGUGUAGGAGUGAAAUCCGUAGAUAUCUGGAGGAACAUCAGUGGCGAAGGCGGCCACCUGGACCGGUAUUGACGCUGAGGUACGAAAGCGUGGGGAGCAAACAGGAUUAGAUACCCCGGUAGUCC
rnacentral:rRNA from 1 species